UAAAUCGGAGAUUUCCCUUCGGGGACAGUGGUGACAGGUGGUGUAUGGUUGUCGUCAGCUCGUGUCGUGAGAUGUUGGGUUAAGUCCCGCAACGAGCGCAACCCUUGCCUUUAGUUGCCAGCAUUAAGUUGGGCACUCUAGAGGGACUGCCGAGGAUAACUCGGAGGAAGGUGGGGAUGACGUCAAAUCAUCAUGCCCCUUAUGCUUAGGGCUACACACGUGCUACAAUGGGUGGUACAGAGGGUUGCCAAGCCGCGAGGUGGAGCUAAUCCCUUAAAGCCAUUCUCAGUUCGGAUUGUAGGCUGAAACUCGCCUACAUGAAGCUGGAGUUACUAGUAAUCGCAGAUCAGAAUGCUGCAGUGAAUGCGUU
rnacentral:rRNA from 1 species